rnacentral:lncRNA from 1 species
AAUUAGCAUGUUAACUUCUUGGUAGUAUUUGCGUCCCACAAACACAGCAGCAGCAAAAGCAUUGGGCUUAAAGGCAUUAAGCAGACAGGACAGUUACAAAUUGGAAUACAUGUUUGCUCAUAUACAUAAGCCACGUAAUGUACACGAACUUCAUUUCAGAGAUUGGAUUAAGUACGGAAUCCGAACCACCCUGAUCCAGAUGCCCUUGGGAAAUACAGCUGGAGAAACAGAAUGUAGACUUCCAAAUACUCCACUGAGAGGAUAAAAAUAAUAAUAAAAAAUAGAAUUCCUUCUGUAAACUAGAGAUGAACGACUGGAAUGAUGAAAAGUAGUGUACCUAGGAGAUGAGGGUGUGUGUAUGUGAUCAUCAUAAAGGAAACUCUUGCAACGAGUAGCAGUCGUAGCAAGCAACAGCCUCCAAUCAUGGGGCCCUUUCAGGUGUUUUUUUUUUUUUUUAAUGCUCCCUCAACGUCCAUCAGCCAUAAUAUAAACAAAGCAGAUAUCCUACCUUCAUUUUUUAAGAAAUUUGUUUGCAUUAUAUUUUUUUCCCUCUAGAAAUUAGGCGGAGAAGGUGAAGAUAGGAAGGGGGAAAAAAGUGAGAAAAAGGAAAUGGAGAAAUGGAAUAGGGAGAAGAAGUGGGAGAAGAGAGAAUAAAUCUAUGAAGAUCAAAAAAUUAAAUUCCUAUAAAAUGUGCGGAGGACACUUUCACGACAACAUUUUGACAGGAAUAAAAAAAAAGAUUCUGACAAGAAUUUAGUGAUAAUUGAAGAUUUUAGAACAUAGAGAACUCUUAUUUACUUGUGUGAGUUGCAGAGGAAAUAUAACAAGAUAUUUAUAUAUGUAUUGUAGCCUAUAUUAGUAAACUACACCAACUACUAAAUAGGAAAUAUAAGGUAUUUAUACAUGUGUUGUAGCCUACAUUAGUAGACUACUACUACUCAAUCACAAUAAUUUAUAGAAGCUAAUUAAAUCAAACAAAUUAGGAUCAUAUCAGUCUGAAAUCAUGCUCAAAUCUUGCACUAGUCAAGACUCCCCCAUCAAGUUAGUGCAAAGAUAUUACACAUGCUCAACUUGCAUAUCAAUGUAAAGAUCUUGUUGCUAAGACCUUUAGUAAGUUCAACAGCCAGUUGUUUGUCAAAUGUCACACCGAGUGUACUCAAGAUAAUUAUAGUAAAUUAUGCUAACUCAUCCAAUAUCCAGUUCCUUGAUCAUUAAUCUUAUAUCACAACAUAGAAACAAAUACCAAAUUAUCUCAAUAGUUUCUUUAAAUAAAGAUAAUUAAAUUACAAUUCGCAAUCAGUGUCAAACAAGCUAAUUUCUAAAAUACAAGUGUAUUAAAACAAUAAAAUAAAGCAAUCAAAAUGUAUGAGUGUUUGUGCAUGUGUGUAAAUAAAUAAACAUAAUGGCAAGCAGCAGUAAAACAUUGAUACCUCACUGGAGAAGACAACCAAAGUUGCCUAUUGGGUGUCUGCUUGUUCAACACAUAGGUACCUAAAUCCCCAAGCUUGAGAGUCAAAACCUCAUUCUACCAAAACGUGUAAACAAACCCAUUAAAUCACAAACAACUUUUAUAAAUAAAAUAAAUAAAAAAACAACUAUUUCUCAAUCAGUCUCACCCCAUAAUCAAUGUCAAGGCCAUCAAUUUGGACACUAUCACAAUAUUCCUGUAAAACACACAGCAACCAAUAUCUAAAGGCACAAAAAUCAUUUCAUUUAAAUAAAGAAGGAUGCAAGGCAACAUUUUCAACCUCGAAUUUCUCCUGAAGGUCAUGGAUUGUGGAAUCAGCUAGUCUAUGGAAGUCAUCUUCCUGCAGAAGAGAACUGUAUCAAAAUUAAUUGCCAUUAGCAAUCCAAUCACAUAUAUUUCAAUAAAAAUAGGAAAAGCAUGUUGUAGUACUAACCGGUAAUCAAUAGUAGCAGGGCCUUGAGAGUCCACAUUGAGAUCCAAAUGGCGAGAGCAGAAGCUUCUUGAACAUGAAGAAAAGCAAGGACUGAGAACGUUGGAGUGUUGACUGAGAACUUUAGAAGCAAGUAGAAGCAAAUAACUAGAAUGGGGAAAUGUUGAAGCAUAAGAAGUAGGAGGAGAUUGAAAGUGAGGUUUCAGAAGCUUUGAGAGCCUUCUUAAAGAAAGUAACUUGGAACCCAUUUCUGUAAUUAGAAAAAUACUCUUCACUAGAACUGAAUUUGUUCUGUUUGAUUUGGCCAAUAAACUGAAAAUAUACUUGAGUUUUCCAUUCCCUUCUCGUAUCCGGCCAAACUCGCCGAACCCGUUUAUCCUUACCAACUUUUGCUGUAAUCUGAAUUACAAAAUGGAAUCAUAAUCAAAAUAUCGGAACAUAAACGGAAAUCAAAGAGGACAAACAAUUAAAUUUUAAAAUAAUUAAAAACAAAUAUAUGAAAUUAUUAAUAAUAAAAUUAUAUAAAUUUCAAGAAAUCUCAACGAAUCCACUUAUAUAUAUUCUACAAUUUUCAACAAUUUUCAAAUAAACAAAUUUCCAAACAACAAAUUUCAACAAACCCAUCAAGUAACCCAUCAAAUCAAACCUGUUGUGGAGAAGCAGCAAUCGAGGAGCUACAGCGAGCAAAAAUAGAAAUGGCUGGAUUGCCGAGGAGGAGAAAACUGGAAACCACAAAGGAGGAGCUGCACCGACUCUGGACUAGCGACGUGCCGAAGAGAGGCUUUCACUUCGGACCAGC